AAAUGAAUAGACGGGGGCCCGCACAAGCAGCGGAGCGUGUGGUUUAAUUCGACGCAACGCGAAGAACCUUACCAAGGCUUGACAUCCCUCGCUAUUUGUAGAGAUACAAAGUUCCCUUCGGGGACGAGGAGACAGGUGGUGCACGGUUGUCGUCAGCUCGUGUCGUGAGAUGUUGGGUUAAGUCCCGCAACGAGCGCAACCCUUGUACUUAGUUGCCAUCAUUAAGUUGGGCACUCUAGGUAGACUGCCGGUGACAAACCGGAGGAAGGUGGGGAUGACGUCAAAUCAUCAUGCCCCUUAUGUCUUGGGCUACACACGCGCUACAAUGGUCUGUACAGAGGGCAGCAACACCGCGAGGUGAAGCGAAUCCCAUAAAACAGAUCUCAGUUCGGAUUGCAGGCUGCAACUCGCCUGCAUGAAGUCGGAGUUGCUAGUAAUCGCGGAUCAGAACGCCGCGGUGAAUGCGUUCCCGGGCCUUGUACACACCGCCCGU
rnacentral:rRNA from 1 species